AUUCCCCUUAGUAACGGCGAAGUGAAGCGGGAAGAGCUCAAAUUUGAAAGCUGGCGUCUUCGGCGUCCGCAUUGUAAUCUCGAGAGUUGUUUUCCGUGCUGGACCAUGUACAAGUUCCUUGGAAUAGGACGUCAUAGAGGGUGAGAAUCCCGUACUUGACAUGGCUGCCCAGUGCUUUGUGAUACAACCUCAACGAGUCGAGUUGUUUGGGAAUGCAGCUCAAAAUGGGUGGUAAAUUCCAUCUAAAGCUAAAUAUUGGGGAGAGACCGAUAGCGAACAAGUACCGUGAGGGAAAGAUGAAAAGCACUUUGGAAAGAGAGUUAAACAGUACGUGAAAUUGUCAAAAGGGAAGCGCUUGAAGUUAGUUAUGCUUGCUGGGACUCAGCCUUGCUUUUGCUUGGUGCAUUUCCCAGUAUGCAGGUCAGCAUCGGUUUUGUCUGCUGGAUAAGGGUAAAAGGAACGUGGCACCCUCGGGUGUGUUAUAGCCUUCUACUGGAUACAGCGGACGGGACCGAGGAACGCAGCGCGCCUCACGGCGGACCUUCGGGUACCUUCGCGCUUAGGAUGCUGGCGUAAUAGCUUUAAGCGGCCCGUCUUGAAACACGGACCAAGGAGUCUAACAUGUCUGCGAGUCUUUGGGUGGCAAACCCAUAGGCGCAAUGAAAGUGAAUGCAGGUGCGAUCCGCAAGGAGCAGCAUCGACCGAUCCGGAUCUUCUGUGAUGGAUUUGAGUAAGAGCAUAUAUGUUGGGACCCGAAAGAUGGUGAACUAUUCCUGAAUAGGGCGAAGCCAGAGGAAACUCUGGUGGAGGCUCGUAGCGGUUUCUGACGUGCAAAUCGAUCGUCAAAUUUGGGUAUAGGGGCGAAAGACUAAUCGAACCAUCUAGUAGCUGGUCUGC
rnacentral:rRNA from 1 species